rnacentral:rRNA from 1 species
AUUGCCCUAGUAACGGCGAGUGAAGCGGCAAUAGCUCAAAUUUGAAAGCUGGCUUAUGGCCCGCAUUGUAAUUUGUAGAGGAUGCUUUUAGGCAGCCGCCGGUCUAAGUUCCUUGGAACAGGACGUCAUAGAGGGUGAGAAUCCCGUAUGUGACCGGCUCUGGCACCUUAUGUAAAGCUCCUUCGACGAGUCGAGUUGUUUGGGAAUGCAGCUCUAAAUGGGAGGUAAAUUUCUUCUAAAGCUAAAUACUGGCGAGAGACCGAUAGCGCACAAGUAGAGUGAUCGAAAGAUGAAAAGCACUUUGGAAAGAGAGUUAAAAAGCACGUGAAAUUGUUGAAAGGGAAGCGCUUGCAAUCAGACUUGGACUUGGCUGUUCAACAGGUCUUCUGACCUGCCUAUUCAGUCUUGUCCAGGCCAGCAUCAGUUUCGGCGGCCGGAUAAAGGCCCUGGGAAUGUGGCUUCUCCUUCGGGGGAAGUGUUAUAGCCCAGGGUGUAAUACGGCCAGCUGGGACUGAGGUCCGCGCUUCGGCUAGGAUGCUGGCGUAAUGGUUGUAAGCGGCCCGUCUUGAAACACGGACCAAGGAGUCUAACAUCUAUGCGAGUGUUAGGGUGUCAAACCCUUACGCGUAAUGAAAGUGAACGGAGGUGAGAACCCGCAAGGGUGCAUCAUCGACCGAUCCUGAUGUCUUCGGAUGGAUUUGAGUAAGAGCAUAGCUGUUGGGACCCGAAAGAUGGUGAACUAUGCCUGAAUAGGGUGAAGCCAGAGGAAACUCUGGUGGAGGCUCGCAGCGGUUCUGACGUGCAAAUCGAUCGUCAAAUUUGGGUAUA